rnacentral:rRNA from 1 species
CCUGGUGUCAAUGGCGCAGUGGCCCCACUUCGAUUCCAUCCCGAACUCGAUUGUGAAACAUUGUAGCGGCGAAGAUAGUGAGGACGUUGGUCCUUGUCAAAAUAGCUCGAUGCCAGGU